ACACAUGGGCUGAAUUUUGAAAAGAGAAA
rnacentral:piRNA from 1 species